rnacentral:rRNA from 1 species
UACGUAGGGGGCAAGCGUUAUCCGGAUUUAUUGGGCGUAAAGGGAACGCAGGCGGUCUUUUAAGUCUGAUGUGAAAGCCUUCGGCUUAACCGGAGUAGUGCAUUGGAAACUGGGAGACUUGAGUGCAGAAGAGGAGAGUGGAACUCCAUGUGUAGCGGUGAAAUGCGUAGAUAUAUGGAAGAACACCAGUGGCGAAAGCGGCUCUCUGGUCUGUAACUGAUGCUGAGGUUCGAAAGCGUGGGUAGCAAACAGG